ensembl:lncRNA
AACGAGCAGCUGGGGGUUGGCUGAGUGACUAACUACAGGGAUUGAAAAAGGGUUUUCCCUCCAAGCUCUGGCCUCUGAACUGGAAACAUCUGAUCGGCUGAGUCUGCUGGGAGGAAGGUGGUGUUGGCUGCUGGACAGCGAGCAGCGGAGGCAGAGGCCAUUCCAACCGGUGGUCACCUAUCUCCUUCUCAGACAGCCUUCCUCAAAGGGGAACAGACACACAUGGGACACAGUGAGUCAGAACGGGCCUCAGUGCACCAAAUGUGUCUCCCCCUACCUAGGUCCCCCGAUGGAAAUCUUGCCAUGGGAUGGUCCUUUUUUUGAAGGUGAAAUGGCAUCUUAAAAUCUCUUCUCUGGGGCUUCCCUGGUGGCUCAGACUGUAAAGAAUCUGCCUGUGUUGUAGGAGACCCUGGUUUGAUUCCUGGGUCAGGAAGAUCCCUUGGAGAAGGGAAAGGCUACCCACUCCAGUAUUCUUGCUGGAGAAUUUCAUGGACAGAGGCGCCUGGUGAGCUACAGUUCAUGGUGUCACAAAGAGUCAGACACGACUGAGCGACUGACACUUUCACGAAGGUAAAAUGGCAUCUUGAAAUCUCUUCUUUACCAAGAGAGACAACUGUGGGAUGUGUGAAUAGUUCCAUCUCAAAAAGAAAAAGUUCUUACUUGGACCCACAAGGCCCUGUAUGAUAUGUAACCUCCAUGCCCUGGGUGGGCUCCAUAAUCUUGGGAGCCCCGUACAGAAUGACAAGUUGGCCCCUGCAUUAUUGGGACCCCCCUGAGGGCAGAGUUUUGUCUCUUUUGGUUGGGUGGCCGCUUUUUUGCCAGUGCCUGGUGCCUGGUAGAGGCUCACGAUAUGUUGUUGUUGAAUAAAGGCUCAGUGUUCAAGUCAUGAUGUGGAUGUGUUAGUAGGGCUUCUUUUAACAUGUGUUAGGACUUUCUCUGUAUCAGAUGGGAAGCCAGGUGGCUCAGUGGUAAAGAAUCUGCCUGCCAAGCAGGAGAUGCAGGUUCGAUCCCUGGGUCGGGAAGAUCCCCUGGAGAAAGAAAUGGCAACCAAUUCCAGUAUUCUUGCCUUGGAAAUCUCUUGGACAGAGGAGCCUGGU